rnacentral:rRNA from 1 species
CAAUAGCGUAUAUUAAAGUUGUUGCGGUUAAAAAGCUCGUAGUUGGAUUUCUGCUGAGAACGACCGGUCCGCCCUUUGGGUGUGUAUCUGGCUCUUUCUUGGCAUCUUCUUGGUGAACGUUGCUGCACUUGACUGUGUGGAGCGCUACCCAGGACCUUUACUUUGAGGAAAUUAGAGUGUUUCAAGCAGGCAUACGCCUUGAAUACAUUAGCAUGGAAUAAUAAGAUAGGACCUCGGUUCUAUUUUGUUGGUUUCUAGAGCUGAGGUAAUGAUUAAUAGGGAUAGUUGGGGGCAUUCGUAUUUAACUGUCAGAGGUGAAAUUCUUGGAUUUGUUAAAGACGGACUACUGCGAAANCANNNGCCAAGGAUGUUUUCAUNGA